rnacentral:rRNA from 1 species
CAGCAGCCGCGGGAAUACGAAGGGUGCAAGCGUUAAUCGGAAUUACUGGGCGUAAAGCGUGCGUAGGCGGUGAGUUAAGUCUGCUGUGAAAUCCCCGGGCUCAACCUGGGAAUGGCAGUGGAUACUGGCUCGCUAGAGUGUGUCAGAGGAUGGUGGAAUUCCCGGUGUAGCGGUGAAAUGCGUAGAGAUCGGGAGGAACAUCAGUGGCGAAGGCGGCCAUCUGGGACAACACUGACGCUGAGGCACGAAAGCGUGGGGAGCAAACAGGAUUAGAUACCCGCGUAGUCCCUGUCUCUUAUAA